UACGGAGGGGGCGAGCGUUGUUCGGAGUUACUGGGCGUAAAGCGCACGUAGGCGGUGCGGUAAGUCAGGGGUUAAAGGCUGCAGCUCAACUGCAGUAAGGCCUUUGAUACUAUCGUGCUAGAGUGUCAGAGAGGGUAGCGGAAUUCCCUGUGUAGCGGUGAAAUGCGUAGAUAUAGGGAGGAACACCGGUUGCGAAGGCGGCUACCUGGCCGGUAACUGACGCUGAGGUGCGAGAGCGUGGGGAGCAAACAGG
rnacentral:rRNA from 1 species